UAUAUAGUGCCUGAUUUAAAAGGAUAGCUUUGAUAGAGCUAAUCAUGUGUUUUUUUCACCUAUAUAA
rnacentral:tRNA from 1 species